AUCCAAAUGAUGAGUCCAAAAUAAGACGAAACGCGCGUCAGACUGGAU
rfam:Schistosoma haematobium scaffold1446_8, whole genome shotgun sequence.